rnacentral:ncRNA from 12 species
UAGCGCCUGCGGCGGGCCUGGCACGAACAUUUAUUAGAAUAACUUCGCAGGCAGUUGUUCGUGUACGGUCUGGUACACUCCGGAACAUUCCGGACUUUAAUGAUUUCU